rnacentral:rRNA from 1 species
GACGAACCGUGCGAACGUUGUUCGGAUUCACUGGGCUUAAAGGGCGCGUAGGCGGGCGGUCAAGUCAGGGGUGAAAUCUUUCAGCUCAACUGGAAAAGUGCCUCUGAUACUGAUCGCCUCGAGGGAGGUAGGGGCAUGUGGAACUUCCGGUGGAGCGGUGAAAUGCGUAGAUAUCGGAAGGAACGCCGGUGGCGAAAGCGACGUGCUGGACCUCUUCUGACGCUGAGGCGCGAAAGCCAGGGGAG